GACGAACGCUGGCGGCGUGCUUAACACAUGCAAGUCGAACGGUGAAGGGGUGUGCUUUUGUGGGCCCUGGGUGAGUGGCGAACGGGUGAGUAACACGUGAGUAACCUGCCCCCUUCGUCUGGAUACCCGCAAGAAAGUGUGACUAAUACGGGAUAUUCUGGGUCUGUCGCAUGGUGGGUCUGGGAACGAUGGCGCCGUUGGGAUUCGUCGGUGGGGGAUGGGCUGGCGGCUUAGCAGCUUGCUGGGGGGGUGAUGGGCUGCCAAGGCGGGGGGGGGUAGCGGGCCUGAGAGGGGGACCGGCCACCUUGCGACUGUGCUACGGCCCAGAGUCCUACGGGAGGCAGCAGUGUGGGAUAUUGCACAGUGGACCGAUGCCUGGUGCAGCAACGCGGCGUGCGGGUUGACGACCUCUUGGUUGUAUGCAGCUGUCGUGUGUGAUGAGGCUUGAUUGACGGUAACGGGAAAAGAAGCACCGGCUAACUACGUG
rnacentral:rRNA from 1 species